rnacentral:rRNA from 1 species
UACGUAGGGGGCGAGCGUUUGUCCGGAUUUAUUGGGCGUAAAGAGCUCGUAGGCGGCUUGGCAAGUCGGGUGUGAAACCGUCCAGGCUCAACGGGGGAGGGUCCGUCGAGAUGGCGUGUCUGGAGGCAGGGAGAGGCCAGUGGAAUCCGGGUGUAGUGGUGAAAUGCGUAGAGAUCCGGAGGAACACCAGUGGCGAAGGCGGCUGGCUGGACCUGACCUGACGGCUGAGGCGCGAAGGCGUGGGGAGCGAACGGG